AUGGACCACCCGGCCACUGCAGUGCCGAGCGCGCAGUCCACGCCCAGCUGACACUUGCUGGAUCAGUGGUGCUGGCG
rnacentral:sRNA from 2 species